AUAAGUUUUCCUAUGUUAAGCAUCCGUAUUUUUAAAGAAAGUGAUGAUGGUCCGAAUCGCAGAGGAAUCGUUUAAUUUUCGUUUUUCUUCGUAUUUCCCGAAAGAAACUAACAAAUCCAAUGAGAAACGAACAGCACACAGGGUGUUGUCGAAGAGGAACACGUAGUCAAGAUUCUGAGAAAAAAUUUGAAAUUCUAGACAAUGCUCUGCAGCAAUGUGUUUGUUGUUUUUGACUUCGUUUAAUGUUGUGGCUGAAUGGACAAUGAGAGAUUGAAUCAACAACAUAACAAGCGGGCAGCUCAUGGUCAAACUCAUUUGGCAUAAAGGGGCUUUAGCCACCAAACAUUUUUUCUUCUUUAUGGUUUGUUAGAUAAGGGUGGAGGCGGCUUUAACAAUUUAGAUCUAGCAGCUAUUAGACUGGUGGUGUUGGCCCAGUGAAUCUUAUUGUCUUCAAGCUGGGUGAAAAAACAAUGAUUCAGUUAGUUUCGUGCAACAUCCUCACAAAAAUGCAACAAGACUUAACAAAUAGAGCAUAUAGACGCAGUGUCGAACUGUACCAGUGAGUACCAGAGUAAUGUGACAAACAUUCAUGAUGGUGAUUAAUCUUCACACAGCUAACA